rnacentral:rRNA from 1 species
GACGAACGCUGGCGGCGUGCUUAACACAUGCAAGUCGAACGGAAAGGCCCUUUCGGGGGUACUCGAGUGGCGAACGGGUGAGUAACACGUGGGUGAUCUGCCCUGCACUUUGGGAUAAGCCUGGGAAACUGGGUCUAAUACCGAAUACACCCUGCUGGCUGCAUGGUCUGGUGGGGGAAAGCUUUUGCGGUGUGGGAUGGGCCCGCGGCCUAUCAGCUUGUUGGUGGGGUGAUGGCCUACCAAGGCGACGACGGGUAGCCGGCCUGAGAGGGUGUCCGGCCACACUGGGACUGAGAUACGGCCCAGACUCCUACGGGAGGCAGCAGUGGGGAAUAUUGCACAAUGGGCGCAAGCCUGAUGCAGCGACGCCGCGUGAGGGAUGACGGCCUUCGGGUUGUAAACCUCUUUCAGUAUCGACGAAGCGCAAGUGACGGUAGGUACAGAAGAAGCACCGGCCAACUACGUGCCAGCAGCCGCGGUAAUACGUAGGGUGCGAGCGUUGUCCGGAAUUACUGGGCGUAAAGAGCUCGUAGGUGGUUUGUCGCGUUGUUCGUGAAAACUCACAGCUUAACUGUGGGCGUGCGGGCGAUACGGGCAGACUGGAGUACUGCAGGGGAGACUGGAAUUCCUGGUGUAGCGGUGGAAUGCGCAGAUAUCAGGAGGAACACCGGUGGCGAAGGCGGGUCUCUGGGCAGCAACUGACGCUGAGGAGCGAAAGCGUGGGGAGCGAACAGGAUUAGAUACCCUGGUAGUCCACGCCGUAAACGGUGGGUACUAGGUGUGGGUUUCCUUCCUUGGGAUCCGUGCCGUAGCUAACGCAUUAAGUACCCCGCCUGGGGAGUACGGCCGCAAGGCUAAAACUCAAAGAAAUUGACGGGGGCCCGCACAAGCGGCGGAGCAUGUGGAUUAAUUCGAUGCAACGCGAAGAACCUUACCUGGGUUUGACAUGCACAGGACGUGCCUAGAGAUAGGUAUUCCCUUGUGGCCUGUGUGCAGGUGGUGCAUGGCUGUCGUCAGCUCGUGUCGUGAGAUGUUGGGUUAAGUCCCGCAACGAGCGCAACCCUUGUCUCAUGUUGCCAGCACGUGAUGGUGGGGACUCGUGAGAGACUGCCGGGGUCAACUCGGAGGAAGGUGGGGAUGACGUCAAGUCAUCAUGCCCCUUAUGUCCAGGGCUUCACACAUGCUACAAUGGCCGGUACAAAGGGCUGCGAUGCCGUGAGGUGGAGCGAAUCCUUUCAAAGCCGGUCUCAGUUCGGAUCGGGGUCUGCAACUCGACCCCGUGAAGUCGGAGUCGCUAGUAAUCGCAGAUCAGCAACGCUGCGGUGAAUACGUUCCCGGGCCU